ACUUAUUACUGUUAAUCUAUUUACUGCUGUCAAUCUAUCUAUUACUGCUAAUCUAUCACUGCUAAUCUAUUACUACUAAUCUAUUACUGCUAAUCUAUCACUGCUAAUUUAUUGCUGUUAAUUUAUCUACUACUAUCAAUCUAUCUACUGCUGUCAAUCUAUCUACUGCUGUCAAUUUAUCUAUUACUGCUAAUCUAUCACUGCUAAUCUAUCACUGCUAAUCUAUCACUGCUAAUCUAUUACUACUAAUCUAUCACUGUCAAUCUAUCUACCACUGUCAAUCUAUCUAUCACUGUCAAUCUAUCUACUACUAUUAAUCUAUCUAUCACUGCUAAUCUAUUGCUGCUAAUCUAUCACUGCUAAUCUA
rnacentral:sRNA from 1 species